rnacentral:rRNA from 1 species
CCUACGGGAGGCAGCAGUGAGGAAUAUUGGUCAAUGGGCGUAAGCCUGAACCAGCCAAGUCGCGUGAGGGAUGAAGGUUCUAUGGAUCGUAAACCUCUUUUAUAAGGGAAUAAGGUGUGGGACGUGUCCUAUUUUGUAUGUACCUUAUGAAUAAGGAUCGGCUAACUCCGUGCCAGCAGCCGCGGUAAUACGGAGGAUCCGAGCGUUAUCCGGAUUUAUUGGGUUUAAAGGGUGCGUAGGCGGCCUUUUAAGUCAGCGGUGAAAAUCUGUGGGGCAACCAGAGAAUUGCCGUUGAAACUGGGUGGCUUGAGUGUGUUAGAGGCAGGCGGAAUGCGUGGUGUAGCGGUGAAAUGCUUAGAUAUCACGCAGAACCCCGAUUGCGAAGGCAGCCUACCAAGCCAUGACUGACGCUGAUGCACGAAAGCGUGGGGAUCAAACAGGAUUAGAUACCCCAGUAGUC